AUUUUAGUCUUAUUAGAGGAACCUGUUUAUUAAUUGAUAAUCCACGAUUAAUUUUACUUAUUUUCUUAAUUCAUAUAUCGCUGUCAUGAAUAUAUUAAAAAAUUAAUUUUCUUUAUUUAUUUAAAUAAUUUAUGUUAAGUCAAGAUGUGGUUUAUAAAUAAGAAUAUAAUGGGUUACAUUAAAUUUUAUUUUUGGAUAUUAAAUGAAAAUUAAAAUGAAAUUGGAUUUAAUAGUAAAUUUAUUUAUUUAAUUAAUAUGAAUAAAGAUCUAAAAUAUGUACAUAUUGCCCGUCAUUCUUAUUAAAAAUAAGACAAGUCGUAACAAAGUAAAUGUACUGGAAAGUGUAUUUAGAAAGAAAAUAAAUAUCUAAA
rnacentral:rRNA from 1 species